AUGAACGCUAGCUACAGGCUUAACACAUGCAAGUCGAGGGGCAGCAUGGUCUUAGCUUGCUAAGGCUGAUGGCGACCGGCGCACGGGUGAGUAACACGUAUCCAACCUGCCGUCUACUCUUGGCCAGCCUUCUGAAAGGAAGAUUAAUCCAGGAUGGGAUCAUGAGUUCACAUGUCCGCAUGAUUAAAGGUAUUUUCCGGUAGACGAUGGGGAUGCGUUCCAUUAGAUAGUAGGCGGGGUAACGGCCCACCUAGUCAACGAUGGAUAGGGGUUCUGAGAGGAAGGUCCCCCACAUUGGAACUGAGACACGGUCCAAACUCCUACGGGAGGCAGCAGUGAGGAAUAUUGGUCAAUGGGCGAUGGCCUGAACCAGCCAAGUAGCGUGAAGGAUGACUGCCCUAUGGGUUGUAAACUUCUUUUAUAAAGGAAUAAAGUCGGGUAUGCAUACCCGUUUGCAUGUACUUUAUGAAUAAGGAUCGGCUAACUCCGUGCCAGCAGCCGCGGUAAUACGGAGGAUCCGAGCGUUAUCCGGAUUUAUUGGGUUUAAAGGGAGCGUAGAUGGAUGUUUAAGUCAGUUGUGAAAGUUUGCGGCUCAACCGUAAAAUUGCAGUUGAUACUGGAUGUCUUGAGUGCAGUUGAGGCAGGCGGAAUUCGUGGUGUAGCGGUGAAAUGCUUAGAUAUCACGAAGAACUCCGAUUGCGAAGGCAGCCUGCUAAGCUGCAACUGACAUUGAGGCUCGAAAGUGUGGGUAUCAAACAGGAUUAGAUACCCUGGUAGUCCACGCCGUAAACGAUGAGUGCUAAGUGUUAGGGGGUUUCCGCCCCUUAGUGCUGCAGCUAACGCAUUAAGCACUCCGCCUGGGGAGUACGGUCGCAAGACUGAAACUCAAAGGAAUUGACGGGGGCCCGCACAAGCGGUGGAGCAUGUGGUUUAAUUCGAAGCAACGCGAAGAACCUUACCAGGUCUUGACAUCCGACUAACGAGAUAGAGAUAUGUCAGGUGCCCUUCGGGGAAAGUCGAGACAGGUGGUGCAUGGUUGUCGUCAGCUCGUGUCGUGAGAUGUUGGGUUAAGUCCCGCAACGAGCGCAACCCUUGUUGUCAGUUACUAACAGGUGAUGCUGAGGACUCUGACAAGACUGCCAUCGUAAGAUGUGAGGAAGGUGGGGAUGACGUCAAAUCAGCACGGCCCUUACGUCCGGGGCUACACACGUGUUACAAUGGGGGGUACAGAGGGCCGCUACCACGCGAGUGGAUGCCAAUCCCUAAAACCCCUCUCAGUUCGGACUGGAGUCUGCAACCCGACUCCACGAAGCUGGAUUCGCUAGUAAUCGCGCAUCAGCCACGGCGCGGUGAAUACGUUCCCGGGCCUUGUACACACCGCCCGUCAAGCCAUGGGAGCCGGGGGUACCUGAAGUGCGUAACCGCGAGGAUCGCCCUAGGGUAAAACUGGUGACUGGGGCU
rnacentral:rRNA from 1 species